AGUUUUGGUACAUGGGGUUCGUCAACUACGACAAGGGAAUAAAGAAUAUGCAGGAGGCUGUCCGGUUGGCUCAUAGCCACGGCAAUUUCUCUGGGGGUUCAAUGCCGGCCGGAGCAGUUCCGUAUCCUCCUCCAAUGAGUGGCACUUCCUCACCAGUAUACCCUCCUCCGCCGGGUUACCCUAAUGCGCCACAGCCACCGCCACCAGGGUACCCUCCAGCUGCAAAACCUGGAUAUCCUCCAGCUUAGUUUUCUAGUCAAGCCCUAC
rnacentral:lncRNA from 1 species